GUGGGGAAUCUUAGACAAUGGGGGAAACCCUGAUCUAGCCAUGCCGCGUGAGCGAUGAAGGCCUUAGGGUUGUAAAGCUCUUUCAGCUGGGAAGAUAAUGACUGUACCAGCAGAAGAAGCCCCGGCUAACUCCGUGCCAGCAGCCGCGGUAAUACGGAGGGGGCUAGCGUUGUUCGGAAUUACUGGGCGUAAAGCGCACGUAGGCGGACCGGAAAGUCAGAGGUGAAAUCCCAGGGCUCAACCUUGGAACUGCAUUUGAAACUCCUGGUCUUGAGGUCGAGAGAGGUGAGUGGAAUUCCGAGUGUAGAGGUGAAAUUCGUAGAUAUUCGGAGGAACACCAGUGGCGAAGGCGGCUCACUGGCUCGAUACUGACGCUGAGGUGCGAAAGCGUGGGGAGCAAACAGGAUUAGAAACCCUUGUAGUCC
rnacentral:rRNA from 1 species